rnacentral:rRNA from 1 species
UCCACACUCAAAGGGCACCUAGAUCAUGCUUUGGGUGUCGCCUAAGGAUGAGGCCGCAGCCGAUCAGGUUGUUGGUGGGAUAAAGGCUCACCAAGCCUAUAACCGGUACGGGCCGCGGGAGCGGUAGCCCGGAGAUGGACACUGAGACAAGGGUCCAGGCCCUACGGGGCGCAGCAGUCGCGAAAACUCCGCAAUACACGAAAGUGUGACGGGGCUAUCCCGAGUGCCGUCCGCUGAGGAUGGCUUUUCUCCAGUGUAAGGAGCUGGAGGAAUAAGGAGAGGGCAAGUCUGGUGUCAGCCGCCGCGGUAAUACCAGCUCUCCGAGUGGUAGGGACGAUUAUUGGGCUUAAAGCGUCCGUAGCCGGUUCAGCAAGUCCUCCGUUAAAUCCAGCGAUUCAAUCGUUGGACUGCGGGGGAUACUGUUGGACUUGGGGACGGGAGAGGCCAACGGUAUUCUCGGAGUAGGGGUGAAAUCCUAUAAUUCCGGGAGGACCACCAGUGGCGAAGGCUGUUGGCUAGAACGAGCUCGACGGUGAGGGACGAAAGCUGGGGGAGCGAACCGGAUUAGAUACCCGGGUAGUCCCAGCAGUAAACGAUGCAGGCUAGGUGUUAGGGUGGCCACGAGCCACUCUAGUGCCGCAGCGAAGACAUUAAGCCUGCCGCCUGGGGAGUACGGCCGCAAGGCUGAAACUUAAAGGAAUUGGCGG